UUAAUCCAAGGGUGGGUUAUAGUCCCAUACUCCUAAUAAGAUUAGGAGAAGCCCUAAACCCAAUCUAUAAAAGGGUAGCAAGAGAGACAUUAUGAAUUAAUUCUCUCCUCGUCCUCUCCACGCCAAGGGUUUAGUGAUUAUGAUUUUUUUUAAGAACUUAGAGUUCUGAAAAAUUCAGAAAAGGGUCACUUCAUUACUUCUCCUCUUCUCCUUCUUUAUCUUCUUCCUUCAUCUCAUAAGAUCAAUCAAAGGUUGAUUGAUUUUAAGAAGAACAAAAUCAGCCA
rnacentral:lncRNA from 1 species